rnacentral:rRNA from 1 species
GACGAACGCUGGCGGCGUGCUUAACACAUGCAAGUCGAACGGUAAGGCCCUUCGGGGUACACGAGUGGCGAACGGGUGAGUAACACGUGGGUGAUCUGCCCUGCACUUCGGGAUAAGCCUGGGAAACUGGGUCUAAUACCGGAUAGGACUCCGGACUGCAUGGUCUGGGGUGGAAAGCUUUUGCGGUGUGGGAUGGGCCCGCGGCCUAUCAGCUUGUUGGUGGGGUGAUGGCCUACCAAGGCGACGACGGGUAGCCGGCGUGGGAGGGUGACCGGCCACACUGGGACUGGGAGACGGCCCAGACUCCUACGGGAGGCAGCAGUGGGGAAUAUUGCUCAAUGGGCGCAAGCCUGAUGCAGCGACGCCGCGUGAGGGAUGACGGCCUUCGGGUUGUAAACCUCUUUCAGCAUCGACGAAGCGAAAGUGACGGUAGGUGCAGAAGAAGGACCGGCCAACUACGUGCCAGCAGCCGCCGUAA